GGAAGCCGGGUUACGGUGCCCAACUGCGCGCUAACCUAGAACCCACAAAGGGUGUUGGUCGAUUAAGACAGCAGGACGGUGGUCAUGGAAGUCGAAAUCCGCUAAGGAGUGUGUAACAACUCACCUGCCGAAUCAACUAGCCCCGAAAAUGGAUGGCGCUCACGCGCGCGACCCACACCCGGCCAUCUGGGCGAGCGCCAUGCCCCGAUGAGUAGGAGGGCGCGGC
rfam:Hordeum vulgare subsp. vulgare, WGS project CAJW01000000 data, contig: morex_contig_1498416